CCUGGUGGCUCAGAGGGUAAAGCUUCUGCCUGCAAUGCAGGAGACCCAGGUUCAAUCCCUGGGUCAGGA
rnacentral:tRNA from 1 species